rnacentral:lncRNA from 1 species
UGCUAAAUGUAAUUUGCCCUAAGUUUUUCUUUUAACAAUGGGGUGACUGGUUUUGAAAACUGAAGGCAGACUUUACAUAGUUGUUGAAAUGAUAUGGUAAAGAUGUCCUUAAGGACAGGUCAGAAGGCAACAGAUUGCAGCAACUGAAACUCCGAACAGAAUUAAGUUCAGCAGGGUGAAGUAAAGUUCAUGAAUCCAGAAG